UACGUAGGGGGCUAGCGUUGUCCGGAAUCAUUGGGCGUAAAGAGCGUGUAGGCGGCCCGGUAAGUCCGCUGUGAAAGUCGGGGGCUCAACCCUCGAAUGCCGGUGGAUACUGUCGGGCUAGAGUGCGGAAGAGGCGAGUGGAAUUCCUGGUGUAGCGGUGAAAUGCGCAGAUAUCAGGAGGAACACCGAUUGCGAAGGCAGCUCGCUGGGACGUCACUGACGCUGAGACACGAAAGCGUGGGUAGCAAACAGG
rnacentral:rRNA from 1 species